CCGGACGCCUCCUGCACCUUCUCCUGGAAGUCUCCGCCCUGAAAAGGGGAGUUGGUGGCUUGAGGCUUCUGAGAGGUCGGAAUCACCCCUGGAGGGAAAGGAAGAAGCAACCGACCAGAAAAGCAGGACCGGGACGAGCGGGGACCUUGCUGCGCUUGGAGGCAGAGAGACCAGCUCACCAUGCUGCCCAGCCCACAGAGCAACGUGAGAUGACCAUCCUAAAGGUCAAGUUUAUGUCUUCUCCAUACAAGAGACCUCCUGGGAUGAGCUAAAGUGUCUCCAUCCCAAUUCCACGUCCUGGGACCUGUCGGCUCCAUUUGCCCUCACUGAAAUCCAGCUUUUGACACCAUGAAAAACAGGGAAGUUAACAGUU